rnacentral:rRNA from 1 species
UACGUAGGGUGCAGGCGUUAAUCGGAAUUACUGGGCGUAAAGCGUGCGUAGACGGUUUCGUAAGUCGGGUGUGAAAUCCCCGGCUCAACCUGGGAAUUGCAUUCGAAACUGCGAGGCUAGGUACGGAAGAGGGAAGCGGAAAUUCUGGUGUAGCGGUGAAAUGCGUAGAUAUCAGAAGGAACAUCAGUGGCGAAAGCGGCUCACUGGAUCUUAUCUGACGCUGAGGCACGAAAGCCAGGGUAGCGAACGGG